GGGGAGCCCCUCAGCUCCCAGGAGAGCUGCUGCAGCCACUUCAAUUCUCCACUACAGAAGGGGCGGAGGUGGCCCCUGGAGGGUGGCGAUGGGAACAGGGCUCAUCUUUAGUCUGGUGGCCUCUCGCUGGGUGUCGAGGGGGUGUAACUGGCUUCAAGAAAAGAGCUAGGGAGUCGAAAUGCCAGACCGGGCAGAGAACGGAGAGGUGGCCCAACGGACUUAAGGGCGUGCGGCGAGGAACUGCCUGCCGGCAAUCCGCUAACUAGUGAGGAUUGAUUGACUCUUUCUGUCAUCAGCAUCCUUGGAACCCCUACUCCUCCUCAGGUCUCCCGACUUUUCGCUCGCCAGUGGCCGGGGGCCGCGGGCGCAGGGCUGGGCGUGCGUGUGUAGCUGCGCGCGCGCGGGUGUGCGCGCCAGUGUGUGUGCGCAGCCCGAGCUCUGAGCCCGGCCGCCAAGCCCCAGCCGGCUAUCCUGCGUCCCGCCUUGCAGCCGCCUCCUCAAAGCCUCUUCACCUGGCGCCGCCGCCCGCCGCCCGCCGCCCGCCCAGCCCCGCACCGGCGCUGCCUCCCCUCAAAGUUUCCCCAGCGUAGACACCUUCGCGCUGCAGCAGCCCAGGGAGACGGUGUUCCGAAGCUGUGCCUUGGAGUGGCUCUUCUUACACCUUUCCGCCUCAUCCCCACCUAAUUCGGGCAGGGAGUAGAAAAUUUUCCAAAUUAAGGGGAGAAAGGGGGGAGGGGCAUUAUCGAGAGAAAGCAAGAGGAGCGGCCGCAACUGAGAAUAUCCUGCCUGAUGCCAGGGAAUUGACUGACGUGUCUGUGGGGUUACGGAAGAAAACUGAAUAGGCAGCCAAGUUGGCCCAGGAGGGGCUGGGAGGCUUCCGGGUGCCGGGAAGGUGGUCCCGGUCUCCAUUUCCACUGGUACGAAGGCUUGGAGGCGCCUCUAUGGUGAGGGCUUUUGAACCGCCAUCCCCUCCUGAUCCCUUGGAAAGGAGGAGCCUUCAGAGCUGAGGAGGGGGAAGUCCAGGAAAAGCCCCUGGACUUGUGUGCGUCGCAUCCUUGGCUUGGGAUUUUAAGGACACGAAGGAGAAUUAACAGCGCCUCAAGGAAAUCCACUGGAGAUGGUUUCAAGAUAUAGGAUCCUUAUAUGUGAAGUAUCCCAAAUGAAGUUGGAGCAUCCAUGUUGAAAUUGCUUCAUGUUGUGGAAUUGAUGAGUGCCAUCAGAAAGCUGUAUCAUGAGCUGCCUGCACUUCUAAAGUGUCCAGUGGAUUUUUAAUCACAUGAGCCUGGAAAUAGGGUUUUGAGAAGAAGCUCAGAGCACAGCACGAAAGUGGCCACUACCAGCAUGAAGAGCCCAACAAUUCAAACUGGUGAAGUGAGAAAAACAGAAUGCAGCUUUCAAGGUUGGU